rnacentral:rRNA from 1 species
UAACUCUUAGCGGUGGAUCACUUGGCUCGUGGAUCGAUGAAGAACGCCAGCUA